rnacentral:lncRNA from 1 species
CGCUGCUGCCAGCCGGAGUGCUUUGAUCCCCGCCUGCAGCGCUGCCACGCUGGGUUCAUUUCGGCCAAGCUGGGUUAAACCGAGCAAACCUGCCCGCUGUGGGUGUGCGUGGGGCGCUGGUGCUGAACAUCUGCACCUCGCCUGGGGGGCGAAGGGAUGGAGGAUGAGGUUCUCUCCCCAUGGCAACCGGAGAUGGGGACCUGCCAGGUGCUGCUGAGGCUCCAGCUCUGCUUUCUUGAUGUCACAGCUCAGAGUGGAUGUGGCUGGGUUGAGCUUCAGGUGGAUUGAAGGUUUUCCAGCUACAAAAGGA